rnacentral:rRNA from 1 species
UACGUAGGUGGCAAGCGUUGUCCGGAUUUAUUGGGUUUAAAGGGUGCGUAGGCGGUCUAUUAAGUCAGCGGUGAAAUACUCCAGCUUAACUGGAGGGGUGCCAUUGAUACUGAUGGACUUGAGUCAAGUCGAGGUAAGCGGAAUUGACGGUGUAGCGGUGAAAUGCUUAGAUAUCGUCAAGAACACCAAUAGUGAAGACAGCUUACUGGGCUUAAACUGACGCUGAGGCACGAAAGUGUGGGGAUCAAACAGG